rnacentral:lncRNA from 1 species
AAAGCGCCCGCCAGGACAGGCUCCUGGUGGGUUGUAAGGAGAACGGCAGGAAGAAGUGCUCCCAGGAAGCUGCCUAGCCACCGCCACCACCACAGGGUUCCAUCCAACUGACUUAUGGCAUCAGGAGCUUUGAAUUGUCUCAUCUCCAAGACUCUGAAGGUCCUUACAACACUAGCAAUCCCCUUCAUGCCUUAGGGGAUCUCUACAUGAUGUCCUGCUCAGAUGAUGGAAAGCCAGCCCCCUUCCUCUUGCAAACUGGCUUCUUGCACAGUCACCUGGCCUUAGACUAGAACCAUGGCUCUCAAAUUUCAGGGAAAGUAUGAUCAAGCAGUUCAUCAGGAAGCACAAAUGCCACAUGGACAGGGCAAUUCUUUUUCAAGAAGACCCACAGACUUCUCCUGCCUAGGCUCUGAAGAAGCCACAAAAAUCUGUCCUUCCACUAGGCUUUCAGGAGAGAUGAGCCGUCUCCAUUUCCAUCAGUCACUCAGCUCUUCCCCAACACCACAGACAACUGGCCGCCUUGGAGGCUCUUCCAAGUUUCCUGUAGCAGACUCUUUAGUUGUUAUAAUGUUCCAGAAACUGAAGUGGGAAUGGAAGCUAUCAAGUUUUCUGUACUCCAAAAAUUGUCUCCAGCACAUUCCCUGAGAAAGUGUUGCAUCCUUGCCCUGAACACCUUCCAACAGAAUGACUAAGGAAUACUCAAUGCUAGACCAUUCCAGCCUGUUCACCCACCAAGAGGUGGAACUUGUCUGAAGCUACAGGACCACAAUUGACCAUACCCUCCCCUCCUUCUUUGCUUUAUCUUUUUGGAACAUAUUCUGUUUAUUAUUAACAUUUUUAAACUAUGAGACUUAAAGAUAAUCUGUUCUAAGCCCCUAAUCUUGUACAUGACUAAAAAAAAUCACAAGGACAAAUAGAAUGCAUGCACACCAUCACUCUCCUAUCCUCUACCCACAGCAGAGAUCACUAAUCAAUUAAAGCAAUCUUUUCUACUGCACACAGGUGUGGCCUUAAAAUCCUUCUGGACAGAACGCUUCAGGCAGACUUUUCAUAUUUAAUCAUAAACAUAAAUGACAUCAAACAUUAAACCCAUUUGUCAAUCCAGUGUUAAAUGAUGCUAAAGUAGUUUGUGGUAAAACUGGGCCCAUGUCUCCUCUCUCUCAGCUUAUUGACCUUUCUGCUACAUCACAAUGUUGUACUUAUGUUGAAAUGUCACACUUUACAUCUUCUGCAAAUAUUCCCUCUAGGUUUAACUUUUCCAACAAAAUAUCUCAUCAUGUUUUUGUCUUUUCAUUUUUGUUCUUGAGUAAGUAAUACAUUUACUUGUUUCAAACUCAAAGCAAUGUAAAGGUAUACUCGGGGAAGUCAUGCUACCACCCAAGUCUCCAUCCACUUCAUUCCUCCACUUUUAUUAGUUUAUUGUUUAUCCUUCCAAGGUUUCUUUAUGCAAAUACAUGCAAAUCAAAUAUAUAUUCUCAUUUUCUGUGCUGGCCAUACACAAAAUGUAGCAUAUUAUAUAUACUUGUUGUACCUUUCUUUUUUUAACUUAACAAUAUAACCUAGAAAUGGAUUUUUCUCACUUUUUCGUAGGUUUAUAAUCAUACUACUUUUGACAUUUAGGUCAUUUGAAUAAGAUUCAAUCUAUAAGACCUGCCUUCUUAAACCCUGUUUUGGUCCUCUCUGAGAUUCGAUGCCACUAUUUGGCCAGUUAAAACUAAGCGGCCCUUUUUGCUUAAGUUUAAUUAUCCAUGAUCGAUCUUCUUCAAAAUGUAGGUGAAGUUUCUCUACUAUCCAGCACAUGAUAUGGCCAAUGUUUUUAUUAAGAAAAUAAAUUUUAUUAAAGCCACUACAUGAAAUAUUUCUUUUGAUGGACACUAAAAUAAUAAGCAUACAUAAAGUAUCAUAAUAGCUUAAUAAUAAUUCAGUAUUUUGGAGUUGCCAAGUAUAAAACUGGAGGCUUCAGAAUUAAUUUUAAGGAUUGAGCCCUGGUUAUUAGCAGACACAUGUCUGCUUUAAAACUUUGUCCUUUUCACUAUUAGAAAGCCAAAGGCUGCUUUGGCUCUUAGAGCCUUAGUAGAGCCUCAGAAUUGACCCAUUAGGCUAGUCUCUGAUUAAAUGGACCCCAAAGUGUUAGCCUGAACUCUUUUGUUAAUUGCCUUGAGUGAGUUUGCCUAAUCAAAGGAACGUGUGAAACCUCUGAUCUGUAUGGCAGCCUUAAGAUUUCUGAUCUUCAUUAUCUUCUAUAAAAGUACAUCACUUUUGUAUUUUUCAGUUCCUUUUCAAUCCCCUGAUAAGAAUGACCUGUUAAUAGAUAAACUUAGGCACAUUAAAAUUUUAACAAGUUUAUUUGAGCAUUCAGCAAUUCAUGAACCCAGCAGUCUCAGACUACAAGUGGUUCAGCACUCCACUGAGAGGGUGCAAGGGGAAAACUUGUAUAAGGUGUUUGUGGAAGCAAGACAAAGAAAAUAUCUGAUUGAUUUAGGCUGAAAAUCUCUAGUUACAGGUUGGUUAGCAAUUUCUGAUUGGUUAAACUAAAGUUUUAUUUUAGUAUUUAGGUUGAGUUAGGUUUUGGUUUGCUUACAAAGGCACUGGAGCCAUCUCAGCCUAGUGGACUUGAAAUCAAUUAUUAUAAUAGAUCCCCUACCUAAGAAAGCCAGCAUCCCUAAAGGAAAAUAAAUACUGAGGACUUUAUGCAAAGCAAAGAAAUGGAUGUAAAGACGUGGAUCCUCAUUGCCCUCACAAUACUUCUUUUCCUUGAAAAAAGGCUGAGAAUGGAUAAAGAUAAAUUUAGGCACAGUAAGGACAAAGAUAAAGAAUAGCAAGAACUUGUAGCUUGGAUUAUUGAUGCCAGAGAAGUGGAGACCCCAUGUGGAGAAUAUUUUUACCCGUUUCCCACCACUGCUUCCCGGACAGAGAUAAUCUGGGACCCCUGUGAGUAUAGCCCAGCUGGCAACCUUGCCAUAUUUCCAUCCUGCAAGGCUUCAUUCAGGACAGCGCAGGAACUUAUAGGUCAGUCUAAACACUAAACAAGAACAUUAGCCUUAACAACACAAAUUAGUAAUUCAUUUCUUCCUUAUGUAGCUGAGCACUUAAUGAUCCAAAUCUUGGCGACUGAGUUGGGUAAUAGUUCAUUGCUGGAUGACCCAUCUUGACUUUCAAAGUUGCUAUUGUUUUUACAUUAUCCUCAAGUGUUAUCAUUAAGUUGUGAGCAAGACUAAUUUUCUUAAUCAUUCCCAAUCUCCCCAACCAUUUUUCACUGAAUAAUAUCAUCAACAGGCUGCACAAAUUGGACAUCUGAGAUUUAGUUGAAUUAGUAACACCUAAAAGAUCAUUUAUGGCUGCAGCAAUAAGCCUCCCAUUUCAUCUAAUUAGAGAGCAAGAUUAUUUCCCUAAAUCCCCACUAAUAUUUUGAGUUGACAAACAAUGAAGCAAUCCUGAUAAAGUGAAUAAAUGAGUUUCAU